rnacentral:lncRNA from 1 species
AUUUUUUUCUCAAGGACUCAGAACCGGAGACAGCAUCCUGGAGGCUGGCAGAGUGGAGCAUCCAGGCAUCUGGAGACUGCUGAGGGUCUGCCUGUGAGUCCGAGCUGAGAUUCCAGGCUCACAUCAAAUCAUCCUUGAUUUCAGAGAGAGGACCUACCAAGAAGAAAUUUCCCAGGGAAAGACUGUGAUUGGCUAGGCAUGGGUCAUAUGCCCGACCCCUGGAACAAUCAUUGCAACAGCCACGGAGAAACAGCAUGAAGGGUCAGGCUUGGAUUAUAUGCCCAGCCAUGUGGCCAGAAGCGAGGUCCUGUCCAUCUGUCCAUGUGCCACAGCAGUUAAGAGUGUAUUCUGCAUUUGGCUGGACGCCGUG